rnacentral:rRNA from 1 species
UGGUCUUGACAUCCCGAGACCAUCUGAGAAAUCAGAAAGUGCCUUCAACUGAAGGAGCUCGGUGAC